rnacentral:rRNA from 1 species
CCUACGGGAGGCAGCAGUGGGGAAUAUUGCACAAUGGGGGAAACCCUGAUGCAGCAACGCCGCGUGAGUGAAGAAGUAUUUCGGUAUGUAAAGCCCUAUCAGCAGGGAAGAAGAUGACGGUACCUGAAUAAGAAGCCCCGGCUAACUACGUGCCAGCAGCCGCGGUAAUACGUAGGGGGCAGGCGUUAUCCGGAUUUACUGGGUGUAAAGGGAGCGUAGACGGCAGUGCAAGUCUGGAGUGAAAGCACGGGGCCCAACCCCGGAACUGCUCUGGAAACUGUGCGGCUAGAGUACUGGAGGGGCAGGCGGAAUGCCUAGUGUAGCGGUGAAAUGCGUAGAUAUUAGGAGGAACACCAGUGGCGAAGGCGGCCUGCUGGACAGUAACUGACGUUGAGGCUCGAAAGCGUGGGGAGCAAACAGGAUUAGAUACCUCAGUAGUC